GAUGGGCUCCGAAGCUAACGCGAUAAAUCGACCGCUGGGAGUACGGCCGCAAGGUUAAAACUCAAAUGAAUGACGGGGCCCGCACAAGCGGUGGAGCAUGUGGCUUAAUUCGAUGCAACGCGAAGAACCUUACCUGGUCUUGACAUCCAUAGAAUUCUGCAGAGAUGUGGGAGUGCCUUCGGGAACUAUGAGACAGGUGCUGCAUGGCUGUCGUCAGCUCGUGUUGUGAAAUGUUGGGUUAAGUCCCGCAACGAGCGCAACCCUUAUUCUUUGUUGCCAGCGAUUUGGUCGGGAACUCAAAGGAGACUGCCGUUGAUAAAGCGGAGGAAGGUGGGGACGACGUCAAGUCAUCAUGGCCCUUACGACCAGGGCUACACACGUGCUACAAUGGCGUAUACAAAGGGAAGCGAAGGUGCGAGCUGGAGCGGAUCUCAUAAAGUACGUCUAAGUUCGGAUUGGAGUCUGCAACUCGACUCCAUGAAGUCGGAAUCGCUAGUAAUCGUAGAUCAGAAUGCUACGGUGAAUACGUUCCCGGGCCUUGUACACACCGCCCGUCACACCAUGGGAGUGGGUUGCACCAGAAGUAGAUAGCUUAACCGCGAGGGGGGCGUUUACCACGGUGUGAUUCAUGACUGGGGUGAAGUCGUAACAAGGUAACCA
rnacentral:rRNA from 1 species